rnacentral:tRNA from 1 species
AGGGAUGUAGCUCAGUGGUGCAGCACCUGCCUGGCAAGCAUGAGGCCCUGGGUUCGAUUCCCCAUACCAA